CCUACGGGGGACUGCAGUGGGGAAUAUUGGGCAAUGGGCGCAAGCCUGACCCAGCAACGCCGCGUGAAGGAAGAAGGCUUUCGGGUUGUAAACUUCUUUUAAGAGGGAAGAGCAGAAGACGGUACCUCUUGAAUAAGCCAGGGCUAACUACGUGCCAGCAGCCGCGGUAAUACGUAGGUGGCAAGCGUUGUCCGGAUUUACUGGGUGUAAAGGGCGUGCAGCCGGGAAGACAAGUCAGAUGUGAAAUCCCGGGGCUCAACCGCGGAACUGCAUUUGAAACUGUUGUUCUUGAGUACCGGAGAGGUCAGCGGAAUUCCUGAUGUAGCGGUGAAAUGCGUAGAUAUAAGGAAGAACACCAGUGGCGAAGGCGG
rnacentral:rRNA from 1 species